UUUCUUAAAGUUUUAAGGAGCAUUUCUAAGUACCAAAAAUUUUCUUGUGAUUUUCCUCCCCACAGCAGGUUAUCUCUCAGACAUCAUCCUGAAGUGAAUCCAAUACCCUUGGAUCUCCCCCUUGUUCUUCCCCUCUGAGGCUUCCCAUACCUAAGAGACUGUUUUGGUCACCUCCUCCCAUCUUCACUCCCACUGCUAUUUCUUGUCUGCAUUUCUUGCCUUUGGACGAUACCCAGCUGCUUACACUUGCGCUGUUGCAAGAUCACAACAGUUUCCUUCUGGAAAACUGACUUAAAGUGAGACUGUGGUGUGCAGGCCUCUGUGCCGGCUGUGUCCUCUCCUAGCUGUACCAGUACCUGGUAUUGUUGCUGCCUGUUUGAAUAUGGAAAAGUUAUAUCUAUGAAGGGACAGGCUUUCUGAAGUCCAUUUUCUAUUUAGUAUUAUUGUGUCUCAUUAGCACUGAUGAUCUACCCAUGGCAGAGUGAACUUCUUGAGAGAAAAGAAAAGUAGACCAGCUUCCAUGCGGAAAAGAAGCAGCUGGAAUAAGCCAGAGACAAGGACUUUCAAAUCCACCAAUGGUCUAUCACGGGUCCCUUUAUGCAUGCACAUGCGACCAAUGCAAUUUCCUUCUGAAGAACCUACAAAACCUCAGCCUGGAGAAUCCUCCAGGUGUUAGUUUUUAGGUGAGUGAGCAGACCACAGGAAGGAUUCCCCAGAAAGGAGAAGGAACAACAAAGAAGGAGACCAGAGCGAGAAGGAGACCAGA